rnacentral:rRNA from 1 species
GACGAACGCUGGCGGCGUGCUUAACACAUGCAAGUCGAACGGUGAUGGCCAGCUUGCUGGUCUGAUCAGUGGCGAACGGGUGAGUAACACGUGAGCAACCUACCCCAGACUCUGGAAUAACCAUGGGAAACGAUGGCUAAUACCGGAUACGAGACGUACACGCAUGUGUGGUGUCUGGAAAGAUUUAUCGGUCUGGGAUGGGCUCGCGGCCUAUCAGCUUGUUGGUGGGGUAGUGGCCUACCAAGGCGACGACGGGUAGCCGGCCUGAGAGGGCGACCGGCCACACUGGGACUGAGAUACGGCCCAGACUCCUACGGGAGGCAGCAGUGGGGAAUAUUGCACAAUGGGCGCAAGCCUGAUGCAGCGACGCCGCGUGAGGGAUGACGGCCUUCGGGUUGUAAACCUCUUUCAGCAGGGAAGAAGCGAAAGUGACGGUACCUGCAGAAGAAGCGCCGGCUAACUACAUGC